GACUACUGGGGUAUCUAAUCCUGUUUGCUCCCCACGCUUUCGCACCUCAGCGUCAGUAUCGAGCCAGUGAGCCGCCUUCGCCACUGGUGUUCCUCCGAAUAUCUACGAAUUUCACCUCUACACUCGGAAUUCCACUCACCUCUCUCGAACUCAAGACUGGGAGUUUUGAAGGCAGUUCCGAGGUUGAGCCCCGGGAUUUCACCCCCAACUUUCCAAUCCGCCUACGCGCGCUUUACGCCCAGUAAUUCCGAACAACGCUAGCCCCCUCCGUAUUACCGCGGCUGCUGGCACGGAGUUAGCCGGGGCUUCUUCUGAUGGUACCGUCAUUAUCUUCCCAUCUGAAAGAGCUUUACAACCCUAAGGCCUUCAUCGCUCACGCGGCAUGGCUAGAUCAGGCUUUCGCCCAUUGUCCAAGAUUCCCCACUGCUGCCUCCCGUAGG
rnacentral:rRNA from 1 species